GGAAGGAUGGUCGAGUGGUUUAAGGCAACGGUCUUGAAAACCGUCGAGUGUAACAGCUCCCAGAGUUCGAAUCUCUGUCCUUCCGCCA
rnacentral:tRNA from 1 species